UACGGAGGGGGCUAGCGUUGUUCGGAAUUACUGGGCGUAAAGCGUACGUAGGCGGCUUUGUAAGUUAGAGGUGAAAGCCCGGGGCUCAACCCCGGAAUUGCCUUUAAGACUGCAUCGCUUGAACGUCGGAGAGGUGAGUGGAAUUCCGAGUGUAGAGGUGAAAUUCGUAGAUAUUCGGAAGAACACCAGUGGCGAAGGCGGCUCACUGGCCCGGUACUGACGCUGAGGUGCGAAAGCGUGGGGAGCGAACAGG
rnacentral:rRNA from 1 species